UCCACUUCUAAUGGUUGAGUACACAGGCUCAGAGAGUAAAGCAAUUUGCCUUAGGCCACACAGCCAGUAAGUGACAGAACUGAGACUUCAGCUAGGUCUGUCUGGUUCUAAAUUCCAAAUUUAUAACUACCAAGCGACGGGGCCUCAAUCCAUCUAAACCUUUGAGUAUGGGAUGUUACAGCAAGGUUCCCCAGAAUCUGGACUGGUUGCUAAAUGAGCUACUGUGAUGCUGACCAUGAAGCUUAGAGAGCAGUACCACAAACAUGGCAGCCGCUGUCUUCAUUAAAGGCCAGACUUUCUGUGUUACUUAUAUGGAAGGAUCUGUUUGUUACGCUUUUGACCUUUCAUCAAGGCAUAGAAAAUAGCAUUACCUUCAUCUUCAGACUCAAAGUUCCCUGAUUUUCUGCUGACUGCUAUGUUUAUUAAAAGUGCACAUUUAACCCAUUGGUAUUAAUUCAUGAAAAAGCUGUUCAAACAUUAUUAACCCUGAAAUUUUAUAUGCUCCAAAGCUCCUUCAGAUUGAAUACUUAUAAUACUCUAGUCCUUAUAUGAGAGGAUUCAGACAUGUGAUGUUCAGCAAGGAAGUUCAAAUGCGGGCAUUGAUGACUGACAAAAGCACAAAAGACUAUUUUUCAGAUUCAUGUUGCUCUAAGUUCUGGCUAGAAUUUGUGAAAGGAAGCAACACACAUACGCAUGAGAGAGGAAGAGAGAGAGAGAGAGAAUGUAUUCACAUAGUAUUUUGGCCUGUUUGAAAGCAGGAAGUACUAAAAAUACUGUUUAAAAGCAUGAUCUCAUGAGAUUUCUACCCCACUUUAGCAGGACGAAAUAUUUGGUUUAUACAGAUAAUCAAACAUUGGAAGCUGGCACUAGGAUCAGUCCAACAAAACCUGCAAUUCUUCCAUUGCGACUUGCAAACUUUAUUUGCUGGAAUGGGGGGCCAGAAAUUACUCACACUCCUGUGACAAUUAGCUAUUCAGAGAGUACGUCUCUAUGUGACUCAGAUGUACUUCACUCAGAGUGAUGGAGAAAUGCAAGUCUGAAUCACAGAUUGCUAACAAAGCGAUGCAGAUGAAUCUAUUAAAGUAUAUCUCCUCACUGUUUUGUUUUUGACUUCCAAUUGGCACUUUUUCUUGCCUUUCAGCUUUGAAACUUGAGAAUAAAAUGCCUCUGGAAACAAAGCAAAGCGAGCUGAAGUGUGUGUGUUAUACAGAAUACUGAGAGCGAUCUUUGUGUCGUGCACAGCUACAGCUGUCACUGAUUUUUCAUCUACAGUAAGGUCAGCCAGACACAAAGACCCAAGACAACACAUUCAGUAGCAUCUUUGUUCUCGUCUCAGUCUGAAAGAGUGAAAUAUUCAGUGAGGAUCUGCUGGACCCACUGCUGGAGUUAUGAAUCCUUUUAGAGCUAUGGACCUUCCGCGAGAACCGGAUUCAAACGAUGGACUCUCAC
rnacentral:lncRNA from 1 species